rnacentral:lncRNA from 1 species
CAGAGCCACAGAGGGCCUGCUGGGAGGAGUUAGCGCAGGGAGAGGAUGGGAGAAACCCCUGGUUUCUUCUCGCUCCCCUUUCUUUCCCAUUAACCAAACACAGACUGAAUCCAGCUGAGGGGGGACCAUGAAAAACUUCACGGAAGGCCUGCCUUUCUGCAGCACAGGGCAGGAAAAUCCAGAGGAACAGAUCUGAGAACCAGCAGCCACGGGAUCUCUCUACACAAGACUGGCUGUGCUGCAAAUCAUUAUGUGGACCAGCCUGACCUUGAACUUGCGGAGUUGCCUUCUGUCUGCCUCUCCUUCCUGAGUGCUGGGAUGAAAGCUUCUCUCCAUGGUGGACAUGGCCCGGAAGCAAAUAAACCCUUUCCUCCCACGGUGGUUCUGGCCUUUGUGUUAAUCGCACUAGCAGAAAUGAAGUCAAACAGGAGCCUUACUCUAAGGAGUACAUGAUCUCCGCCUCCACGCAUGAAGACACGGAAGGGCAAGUGGAAUCUAUGCGGCACAGAGAGGAGGUGAGCGGUUAUCCGAGGAUGAGGUAGGUCUGGGGAUCAGUGAGGGUGUGGUGGGAAUUAUGGGACGUUUUAUAGAAACAGAACAAAAAAAAGUCACAAGUCAAGAUACAUUUUGAAUAUGUUGGUGGGUACAUUGGAUAGGAUGUGUGUAUGGCAACAAAAUGGGGACCCUCUGCCAGAGGCCUGUGUUGCUAGCUGAUGACUUUCUUAGCCUUUGGGUUGGUGGAAGCUGGGGAUCUGAUUUUACUUUCCAAAAGAAUCUACCUACCAGUUGUGGGGGAGUUAGAUCAUAAACAGAGGUAGGCAAUAAAUAGCUCUUAGGGCCUAAUUACAGCCCAAGAUAAACUGUGAUUUGGCUCCUAAUUGAAGUUAGACUUGAAACACUUUACCUCUUCACAGUCACUGACAUUCGAAUCUGCUAAUCAGCCUUUAAAGAGGGUUCAAUAGUGGGUACAGUUUUGUUUUGGAAACUUUUGUUGACAAUACAUAAAAGGACAUUCUCAUUUUACAGCUGCCUAAUCUCUUGUCACAAGGACAGACCACAGUUUAUAUAGCCAGUUCCCUACUGAUAGACAAUGUGAUCUUUUUAAAAACAGUUUCUUUAGUCUCAAUAUUUGUUUUUAGAUUUAUUUAUUGAGUUAUUUAUUUAGUUAUCUUAUGUGUAUUAAUGCUUUGCCUGCUCCGUAUGCAUGACUGUUACCCUCAGAGGCCAGAAGAGGCAUCAGGUCACCGGAGACUGCAGCUGUGGAUGGUUACGAGCCAUCAGAGGGGGACUGGGAAUUUAACCUGGAUCUUCUGGAAAAGCGGUGCAUACUCUUGGCCAUUGAGCCAUCUCUUUAGCCCCUGAUGGUAGAAAUUUUAAUGGAAAUUAAUUUUUAUGACAUUGAAGGUGAUGGAAUGCUUUCUUAUUUGGUUGCCUAGUAAAUGUUUUCACUGGCCUAUGGUUAAUUUUUGUCCUAACAGUAUCCCAAGCUGGCCUUGAACUCACCGUUCAAGACACUAUAGGGCAUUUUCUUAUUCAGUGAUUGAUGUGGGAGGGUCCAGCCCACCAUGGCGGCUCAUCCCUGGGCUUGUGUCCUGAUUCUAUAAUAAAGCAGCCAUCAGAAGCAGAGGAAGCAGCACUCUUCCUUCGAUGGCCUCUGCACCAGCUCCUGCCUCUCAGUUGCUGCCUGUUUGAGCUCCUGUCCUGAUUUCCCUCAGUGAUGAACUAGGAUGUGGAAGCAUGAGUCACCAAAACCCUUUCCUCCCCAAUUUGCAUUCGCUCAAGGUGUUUCUUCACAGCAACCCCCACUCAGUCAGCCAAAAAACAUAUCCUUCACUACUGCUCUUAGCUAGUGUUCACCUGGAGAUCUUGUUCCAAUGAAGAUUCCCACCCAGAAUGUGGUCUGAGAUUCUAGGUUUUGGAGCUGUUCCUCAGUAGCUCAAGGCGGCUGGUGUGCCACCAUGACUUGCUGUUGAUUUGCAUGCUUUUUCCUUUUUCUUCUUCUCAAAGAAGGAAACCUCCACAUGACUCACCGAGCUGCUUUGUGCAAGCAGAUGUCAGUUGUCACUGUCCCUGAUGAGAACAACGUGUUAGAACACUAAAAAAAGUAAAGUGGGUAAACCAGUUUAUUAACCUACUGAGUUAGUCAUCUUGGGUGAUUACUUUUUCCUCUGUCCUUGACUCAAAAUUGGUGGAAGUAAUUUGCUUAGGAAGCUCAGAAUGUCUGUCAGAUGGUAAUGUCAGGAGUCUCCCGUGAAAGUGACACAGAGGCUCAGGACCUUAACCACAGUUUUUUCUCUUUUUCUUGAAGAUGUCUCCAGGUCUUGGCAUAAAUGAAGACUCUUCCCAUGGCCUGAACAUCUUUCUUCCAUCCUUCAAAGCCAUUGCUACACGGCAGCUCCCGGAUCAACGUGUUCCUCAUGGGAGUGAAUAAACAUCUCUGAGUCAGGAGGAGUGGAAAAAAUUCGCCCAAGAUUUACCCACAAAUUGGCUCUGAGAAAGCACCCCAGAACACUCCCAAAGCAUUUGUGCCAGGUUCCCUGGGCUGCUGGGUUUACUUGAGAAAUCAUAAAAUGACUUUUGUGUGUUUAUUCUUUGACAAUUUUAUACACAAAUGCAAUGCACCCCGGUCAAACUGUUGUCUUUUAAAUAUUUAUUUAUUUAUUUAUUUAUUUAUUUAUUUAUUUUUAUGAGUGUGGGUGGUUUGAAUGUAUGUAUAUAUAUAUAUCAUGUGCUCACAUGCCUGGUACCCACAGAGUCCAGAAGAUCCCAUGAGACUAGAGUUACAGAUGGUACCAAGCUGCCACGUGGAUGCUGGGAAUUGAACUCUGGUCCCCUAGAAGAACAACCAGUGCUCUCAACCACUGAGCCAUCUCCUACCCCUUGAAUUCUUUUUCACAAAUCAAAGUGUCCUCAAGGACGACAACAUUCUCAGGUGUGUGUGCUCCAAUGCACAUCACUGAUACCUCAGGAAUGAAAAAGGGUGUAGAAGUAAUUUGAAUCAUUUCCUACAUCCUUUGUGGUUCUAGUAUUCUGAGAGAUAACAAUACUAAGAUGGGAUGAAAAUAAAUUUCUCAGGAGUCUA